AACGAACGCUGGCGGCAGGCUUAACACAUGCAAGUCGAACGCUCGGAGCAAUCCGGGAGUGGCGGACGGGUGAGUAACGCGUGGGAACGUGCCCUGAGGUAGGGAAUAACUGCGGGAAACUGCAGCUAAUACCCUAUGAGCCCAUAGCAAUAUGGGGAAAGAUUUAUCGCCUUGGGAGCGGCCCGCGUCGGAUUAGCUAGUUGGUGGGGUAACGGCCUACCAAGGCUUCGAUCCGUAGCNGGUCUGAGAGGACGAUCAGCCACACUGGGACUGAGACACGGCCCAGACUCCUACGGGAGGCAGCAGUGGGGAAUCUUGCGCAAUGGGCGAAAGCCUGACGCAGCCAUGCCGCGUGAACGAUGAAGGCCUUAGGGUUGUAAAGUUUCUUUUGCCCGUGACGAUGAUGACGGU
rnacentral:rRNA from 1 species